rnacentral:rRNA from 1 species
GAUGAACGCUAGCUACAGGCUUAACACAUGCAAGUCGAGGGGCAGCAUUGGAGUAGCAAUACUUUGGUGGCGACCGGCGCACGGGUGAGUAACGCGUAUGCAACCUACCUAUCAGAGGGGAAUAACCCGGCGAAAGUCGGACUAAUACCGCAUAAAACAGGGGCACCGCAUGGUGAUAUUUGUUAAAGAAAUUCGCUGAUAGAUGGGCAUGCGUUCCAUUAGGUAGUUGGUGAGGUAACGGCUCACCAAGCCGACGAUGGAUAGGGGAACUGAGAGGUUGGUCCCCCACACUGGUACUGAGACACGGACCAGACUCCUACGGGAGGCAGCAGUGAGGAAUAUUGGUCAAUGGGCGGGAGCCUGAACCAGCCAAGUCGCGUGAAGGAAGAAGGAUCUAUGGUUCGUAAACUUCUUUUGCAGGGGAAUAAAGUGCGGGACGUGUCCUGUUUUGUAUGUACCCUGAGAAUAAGGAUCGGCUAACUCCGUGCCAGCCGCCGCCGUAAAAC